CGACACAACAGUCUGAUGAUGUCAUAUCAAAAUAUGAUGUCAGCACCACAAAGCAUGAUGAUGUCACGUCGAGCCCACCACAAAGUGAUAAUGGCCACUUCAGAAUGUUCCGAUGGCACAUGCAAAAGUUACAGAGUCACAGGCAAUGUCUCUUUGAAACCGCUUUGUAAGUUGGAGAUGCUGUACUGAGGCAAGGUGGUGCAGUGCUGAAAUGGGAUGUUGAAUGGAAUGUUGCGUUGUCAUGAAAAACAUCAUGUCACACUGAUCGUUUCUGCAGCCCAAGUGUUCUGUCAGGAUGUGUCAGUGGAUCAGGGCCUGAAUCUUCUCUCCUCAUUGCAAAAGCUGUCAUAGAGCUGGCAUUUUCUGCUCAGCAGGGAUCCACUAUGGACAUAGCAGAAGGGCUGAAGGUCAAGAUAAAGCGCCACCCCGGUGUCCCUCCUCUCGUUCUCCGCCUGCAAGCACAGCACUCCAGAGAGUGAAGGCAGGAGGGGAAGUUAGCCAAAUAAAGCAGGCAGAAGGCUUCCUGUGCUUCCCUUCCUCAGAGGCCUGAUGCUGAGCGGAGAUCGCCAUUGCCUGGGAUGCCAUGAGCUCUGCAGGUCAAAGCAGGAAGGCAGCUUAAACAAACAGAGUGGGAACCUGCUCCCCAAACAGAGAGAAUCGUUUAUUUACACAGACGGGUCUUGAAACCAACAAGUGUCCUGUUGCAUUUAUUAAAGGAGAACCCUCCAAUUACUCCUGAAUUCCCUCACCAAAGGCUCCUUAGCAAAGCAAGUGCGAUGUACGGACCCCCUUAAAUGGAGCAGAGUGUCCCGGUGCGGGUCCUUUAGCGAGAGGGGCAGCGUGGCUAGAGCAGGUUAGAGACACAAAUGAAAUGAUGCAGAAACCGCCUCAAGUUUUGUUUUUUGGUUGGUUGGUUUUCUCAGCUGGAAACUCCACGCUGUGAUUUUAGAGCAAAAGGGUCUCCGUCCCCAGGAGCGUGGAGGCGCCCGUCUGCCAGCCUGCGACGCUGUCCCAGGAGGUGUGCGUCCUGUAUUUGAGAUGUCACAUAGCGGUUGCUGAGCGCCUCUGAC